UCAAACAAUAGCUUCAAUUAUGGACCGUGUAUAAUUUUGCUCCCUGUGUUUGAUGCUAUCCUCUCACAGCUAGCUAUGAUUUUCUCCAUCCUAACACCAUCCAUCUUCUAUAUCUAAGGAGCUGUUUGCCAGUUAUACAUGCAAAUCUGAAAUUUGUAAGCUAAAAAUGUAUGAUUAUAUGGUUUAAAUAUCUAUUUUUAAUCCACGAUAAGAACAAUGGGGUCGUGAUCCCCUCCGCCUUCCCAUGGCCACCCCACUCCCCGCCGCCGCCGCUCCCACGUCCUCGCUCGACAACCCCCGCCAGCGCGGCGUGCCCCCUCCUUCCUCGCUCGCACACGUCUCCCUCACCGCGGGCGCGCACACGCGAGCAGACGACAGCCAUACCCUAUUCGCUAUGAAAUACUGAACUUUUCUUGCCCUCCCUGCCGUACGCCGCCCAUUUCUUCGCAGAAGGGAGCUUCGUGCUCGGCCAGUGCGUCGUGCUGGUGACGGUCGUGAUCGUGUGGAUCUACGCCGAGAUAAUUACGGCGGCCGGUGCCUUCAACGAAAGGGGCCCCGUGACGCAGUUCAGCUGCCGCACCGAUCGAUCUUGGAUCAUCCAGGGCUCACCUCGGUAGGCUAAUUGCCAACGCUUCAUGCUUAAUCAGUGCACAGAUUGUUGAUGUGUUCCCUUCACUUUUCAAUUUUGCAUUGGGUUGCUCUGAUCUGAUUGGGCAUGCUCUGAACUUCUGCUUCGAGCAGGGUCAGGUUUGCCUGUCCGUUUCAGUGGGGUUACCCGAUUUUCCGCUUCCAAAAUUGCUUCCCCUAUAUCUCUGCUUCUUUUGCAUCAGUGAUCAAGGUCUGUGAUUUGUGUUCUCAAGUUAUGUAGUACUUCUUCUAUUUCGGCAGCAAGAAACAUCCUAUGCAAUAAAGAUUUUCGUUUUAAGUGUUAUAGGGGACGAUGCGUAAAACUCCAAAAGGGCCACAACAGCAUCAAAAUAGUUUUACAUAAGCAAAUAUGAUCCUCAGAAAGAAAUAAAACUCACAAAUUACAUCUUCAACAAUGUUUCUAGUUCUUCUAAGGCAGACUAUUAUCUCGCCAUCUCAUGACUGUACUCAGUACAGCACUAGGUAUAUACUGAAAAUGCCCCGUUUUUACUCUGAUCAGUACAUUUCUCUUUCAGUCCACCGGCACAUUAAUUGCGGUGUGAAGAUACACAGGUGCGACAUCCUGCCACGCUUACAGCAUUUAGUCUGUGCUGCAAAUUGCAAUAUCCAGAUAAUCCACAUGAUGUUCCAUUUGUUAGUGCAUUAGGUGCUCCUAAGGAAGCUGGCCACAUUGUUAUGUUGCAACUCUUGGCAAUUUAGUUUAGUGCUGAGCUGUGCCCUACAUGCAUGCUAUAACACUCAUUUAAUGGAUAUGGAUAUUGCCUCAACAAUUACAAAUAGGAAAAAGAUCAAAGGUAACUUAUCUCUGUCCUACAUAUCUAUGUUUUUGGUUUUGGUCCACCUCAGAUUUGUCUUCUUUUGUUCUAUCUGAUUUACUUCUCCAUAUUUCAGAUGAAAGUAAAAUUUCUCUAUUCCCGUUCACUUAAUCCACUGCAAUUAAGCACUGGAUGCUUAGAGUAUAAUUAUUUCAUCUACAAGUAUGAUGAUCGGAUAUGAAAAGGACACUUUUUUCUGGAAGUAGUUUAUUCUCAGUUCAUGUCACAAUUGAUCACUCUUAACUAGGCCAGCAUGUUGUGCCUGCAGGUGUCGUUGUUUCUAUUGAGGAGAUUAAAUCAACUGUUAAUGAGGUUCUAAAGGUGAAUAUAGAAGCUAUAAAGGAGUAACGGUAUCACGUAAAUAGUUUGGCUUCCAAUUCAACUCUCAUGAUAAAUUACGGACAAAUUUAUGAUCCACAAUCUGCAUCAUGUGCCUGCUGUUUUUUUAACAUACUGAUUAAAUCAAUAUGUGCUUAGUUCUUAAUUUAAUAAUCCACUGAUGGAUGACCCAGGGGAGCUAAUCCUUAAUUCUGCCCUUUUUUCUCAGUUGGUAACCUAUGUGGACAGGUUAGGAAAAGGCAUCUGUGGAGUGAUGCUAAGCCGAUAAAGGUUGGCGAGCUGAUGUACCAUUGAAGUUAUGGUUCCUGUAAAAUGCAGGGGAAAAAAAGAGUUACAAUAACCACUGUUGUCCCGCCAUCUGGAAGGAAUUGAACCCUUACACUAUAUUUCCCUAGCCAGAGGAAAACUUUAAGGUUUGAUGACACAACUCUAGAAGCUGAAAAGAACAAAUACAUAGACCACAUUCAGGAAAUCGUCCAUUGGAUGGGAUUGGAGCCGUACAAAGUAACACACACGAGUGACUAUUUCCAAGCUUUGUAUGAGCAUGCUGUUAAGUUAAUACGGAAAGGGCUAGCCUAUGUAAAUCACCAGACCGCACAAGAAAUCAACGAGUACAGGGGAAAGAAGAUGAAUAGUCCAUGGAGGGAUAAGCCAAUUGAAGAGUCGUUGAAAUUAUUUGAAGACAUGCGGCAUGGGUUGAUCGCUGAGGGCGCAGCAACUCUCCGAAUGAAGCGGGACAUGCAGAAUGAGAACAAAAACAUGUCUGACUUAAUAGCAUAUAGAAUAAAAGUAGGUCAAACAACUCAACUGAUAGUCCAUUGGUCACUAUAUGGAACAUUAGAACUCAAUGUUUAUCCCCAUAUAGUUCAACCCUAGACUGGAAGUUUUUUAUUUUUUUAUUUUUAAAAUC